CCCUUAGAUGUCCUGGGCCGCACGCGCGCUACACUGACAUGUUCAACAAGUUUCUCCUAGUUCGACAGGACUGGGAAAUCUUUGAACGCAUGUCGUGAUAGGGAUAGAUCAUUGCAAUUAUUGAUCUUGAACGAGGAAUUCCUAGUAAACGCGAGUCAUCAGCUCGCAUUGAUUACGUCCCUGCCCUUUGUACACACCGCCCGUCGCACCUACCGAUUGAAUGUUUCGGUGAAGAUUCCGGAUAGGACUGAUUUGAUUUAUUUCAUUUCUGACCCAAAAGCUAUCUAAACCUCAACAUUUAGAGGAAGGUGAAGUCGUAACA
rnacentral:rRNA from 1 species